rnacentral:rRNA from 1 species
UACGGGGGGAGCAAGCGUUGUUCGGAUUUACUGGGCGUAAAGCGCACGUAGGCGGAUUGCUAAGUCAGGGGUGAAAUCCCGGGGCUCAACCUCGGAACUGCCUUUGAUACUGACAAUCUCGAGUCCGGAAGAGGUGGGUGGAAUUCCUAGUGUAGAGGUGAAAUUCGUAGAUAUUAGGAAGAACACCAGUGGCGAAGGCGGCCCACUGGUCCGGUACUGACGCUGAGGUGCGAAAGCGUGGGGAGCAAACAGG